rnacentral:rRNA from 1 species
UCUUAUGUACAUUCCUACAACAUUAAUUCACUGGAUAUCAUUAGAACUCCAUAAUUAAGCGCACUUGGGCUAGAGUAGUACUGGGAUGGGUGACCU